CCCUGGGAUCAUGACCUGAGCUGAAAGCAGACGUUUAAGCCACUGAACCACCCAGGUGCCCCUGUUUAUUUAUUUUAAUGUUUAUUUAUUUAUUUGGGGGUCAGGGGAGGAACAGAUGGAGGGAAAGAGAGAAUUCCAAGCAGGGUCCCCACUGAGUACAGAGCCAGACACAAUGGCUAGAUCCCAGGCCGCCCAGACCACCACCCUAACUGAAAACAAGGUCAGACGCUCAACUGACUGCACCAUCCAGGCGCCCCUUAAACACUUGUAAUUCUACCCCCGAUCCUCCCUUUUCGUGAAACAUGUAAAAUAAGAUAAGAAUAGAAAAGAUCCUCUUGCCAUCCCAGAGUUCAACCCUAUGAGUUAAUGAUUAGGCACAAACCAAGCUAGAAUUUUGUUUCUAUGUGUAUAUUAAAUGUAAUAUCUUUCCAUAUUCUUCUGUAUCUAUUAUCUAUCUAUGUAUCUAUCUAAUUAUCACUGUCUAUCUAUUAUCUUGAUAGAAACAGAAGCUUGUAUUCCCAUACUCUCAACAAUUGUGCUCAGAUCACCAGGAGUUUCUACUAUGCUCUCCCCUUCGUAUCUGCUUAUCUGCUAUCAAGAAGCUCCAUGGAGCACAAAAAGCUGCUCAACAUCACUAGUCACCAGGGGAAUGCAAAUGGCAUUCAUUCUGAUCAGGAUGGCUAUUAAAAAACCAGACAGGGCAGCCCAGGUGGCUCAGCAGUUUAGCAUCACCUUUAGCCCAGGGUGUGAUCCUGGAGACCCGGAAUCGAGUCCCACGUCAGGCUCCCUGCAUGGAGCCUGCUUCUCCCUCUGCCUCUCUCUCUCUCUGUAUCUCUAAUAAAUAAAUAAAAUCUUUAAAAAAAUAAAAAUUAAAAAAUUAAAAACCAGACAAUAAGGAGUGGUAGUGAGGACAUGAAGAAAUAGAAUCCCAGUACACUGCUGGCAGAAACAUAGAACAGUGCAGUCAUUGUGGAAAGUGGUAUGAUGGUUCCUCAAAAAAGUAAACAGAAUUACAUGUCACCCAACAAUUCCACUUCUGGGGAUAUAUCCCAAAGAAGUGAAAGCAGGAACUCAGAUAGAUAUUUGCCCCCUCACGUUCACAGCAGCAGUGUUCACAGUAGUCAAAAGAUGGAAGCAAACUAAGUGUCCAUUGACCAAUGAAUGGAUAAGCUAAAUAUGGUAUGUACACAUGAUGGAAUAUCAUUCAGCCUUAAAAAGAGGACAUUUGUUUUUUUUUUUAUAAUAAAUUUAUUUUUUAUUGGUGUUCAAUUUACCAACAUACAAAAUAACACCCAGUGCUCAUCCCGUCAAGUGCCCCCCUCAGUGCCCGUCACCCAUUCACCCCCACCCCCGUCCUCCUCCCCUUCCAUCACACCCAGCCCGUUUCCCAGAGUUAGGAGUCUUUAUGUUCUGUCUCCCUUUCUGAUAUUAGGGAGGACAUUUGGACACAUGUUACAACAUGGAGGAAUCUUGAAGACGUAGUGCUAAAUGAAUUAAGCCAGUUGCAAAGGACAAAUAUUGUAUGAUUCCUCUUAGAUGAGGUCCCUAGAGUAGUCAAAUUCCAGAACAGAAAGUAGAAUGGUAAUUGCCAAGAGCUGGAGGUGGGGCAGGGGGAAUGGGAAGUUAGUGUUUAAUGACUAAAUAAAGUUAGUGUUUAAUGAAGUUAGAAUUACAGCUGGGAAGAUGAAAAAGUCCCAGAGAUGAAUGGUAGUGACAGUUGCACAAUAAUGUAAGUACUUACUACCACACCAAUGUGCACUUAAAAAUGGUCCAAACAGUAGAUUUUCUGUUAUGUAUAUUUUACCAAUCACACAAAAAAUAGCUUUGUGAAGGAGUCAAAGGUGGUAUUCUGUCCCACAAAGAAGUAUACUCUUCUAGUACUAAAGCCUACUGGUUUUGAGUCUUCAGAAUAUACCAGGUACCAAGUAAACAUUUUUUUAAGGGUUUGUUUAUUCAUUCAUGAGAGACACAGAGAGAGAGGCAGAGACGUAGGCAGAGGGAGAAGCAGGCUCCACGCAGGGUGAGACUCAAUCCCUGGACCCCGGGAUCACACCCUGAGCCAAAGGCAGAUGUUCAACCACUGAGCCAUCCACGUGCCCCAUCAAUUAAAUAGCUAAUAUGCAUUAUUUUACUUUCUUCCUCAGCCACCCUGAGGCUGGUACUACUUUUACCUUCAUUGUAAAGAGCAGAAAACUGAGGCAUGAAGAGAUUUAGGUGACUUGCCCACAGUCUCCAGCUGAGAAGGAAGUCAGCAGUGGAACUCACAGUGGUUGGCUUCCAAGCCCAACCUUUAGCCCUCCUGCUGUACCCUCGUGCUAGCGAAAGACAAAUCCGUUGACUGGGCAGUCCACAACACAUGGUAAGGAACUGAAUGCAGGUUCUGAAAAAGCGUGCACCAGCAGAGCCUUGCAUUCCCAGGACGUGGAUAAAAGCCAGGCAUUUUGACCAGAUCCGCAUUUGCAGGCCCUUCAAAGGGAAUAUUUGUAGGCAGAGAUGACCGAGAUUCUCUGUACUUUGCACAGCACACUAGACCACCGCAGCUGCCGGCCCUUCUCCCCACCAGCCCCCCUCUUCUCUUAGAAUCCGCUGCCUUUUUGACAUGAAAAAUGUACUGUA
rnacentral:lncRNA from 1 species